GACGAACGCUGGCGGCGUGCUUAACACAUGCAAGUCGAACGGAAAGGCCCUGCUUUUGUGGGGUGCUCGAGUGGCGAACGGGUGAGUAACACGUGAGUAACCUGCCCUUGACUUUGGGAUAACUUCAGGAAACUGGGGCUAAUACCGGAUAGGAGCUCCUGCUGCAUGGUGGGGGUUGGAAAGUUUCGGCGGUUGGGGAUGGACUCGCGGCUUAUCAGCCUGUUGGUGGGGUAGUGGCUUACCAAGGCUUUGACGGGUAGCCGGCCUGAGAGGGUGACCGGCCACAUUGGGACUGAGGUACGGCCCAGACUCCUACGGGAGGCAGCAGUGGGGAAUAUUGCACAAUGGGCGGAAGCCUGAUGCAGCAACGCCGCGUGCGGGAUGACGGCCUUCGGGUUGUAAACCGCUUUCGCCUGUGACGAAGCGUGAGUGACGGUAAUGGGUAAAGAAGCACCGGCUAACUACGUG
rnacentral:rRNA from 1 species